GAAAAGUCCCCGAAUUGGACCAAGGUUUUGGCUAGCCCCCCCAUUGUCAGACGUCCCGAGCGCGUUCCCGAAGUCGGAAUUGGCAAAGGUGAGCCGGGACAGCCUUCUUCCUCCGCCCAGCCGCCACAGUAAUUUGUCGUCAAGUCUGCCACAGGAGGAUAUUUUGUUCUGGGUUAACCUGCUUUUCUACCUCGCAGGUUGUUUAUCAAUAUUUGUGUAAUUUUAAUUACUCCUAGAAUUU